AUAAACAAGGCCGACGCGGGUCAAGGUGUAGUAUCUGUUCUUAUGAGCUUAAUGCCCGAGACGGGUUGUAUUUGGACCCAAGAUACUAAACUUAUUUCGGCAAGCUGGCGGAGUGCUUGAAGCCUGCUUCUCCUCCGCCGCGGGUAGGCCCGGCAUUGCACGAUCUUCGGUAUUUUUUGGUCUAC